rnacentral:rRNA from 1 species
AUUGAACGCUGGCGGCAUGCUUUACACAUGCAAGUCGAACGGUAACAGGCCGCAAGGUGCUGACGAGUGGCGAACGGGUGAGUAAUGCAUCGGAACGUGCCCAGUCGUGGGGGAUAACUACUCGAAAGAGUAGCUAAUACCGCAUACGAUCUAUGGAUGAAAGCGGGGGACCGUAAGGCCUCGCGCGAUUGGAGCGGCCGAUGUCAGAUUAGGUAGUUGGUGGGGUAAAGGCUCACCAAGCCAACGAUCUGUAGCUGGUCUGAGAGGACGACCAGCCACACUGGGACUGAGACACGGCCCAGACUCCUACGGGAGGCAGCAGUGGGGAAUUUUGGACAAUGGGCGCAAGCCUGAUCCAGCAAUGCUGCGUGCAGGAAGAAGGCCUUCGGAUUGUAAACUGCUUUUGUACGGAACGAAACGGCUCUGGUUAAUACCCGGGGCUAAUGACGGUACCGUAAGAAUAAGCACCGGCUAACUACGUG